GGGGACAUUGCAGGGAUGGGGACAUUGCAGGGAUGGGGACAGUGGGAAGAGGCAACGGUGCAGAGAUGGGACAGCACAGAGAGGGGACAAUGCAGAGAGGGGAUGGAGCAGAGAGGGGAUGACACAGAGGUGGGACAGCACGGCAGAGUGGGAACAACACAGCAGGGAUGGGACGAAACAGAGGGGACAACUGCAGCAAGGGGACAGCACAGCAAUGGGACAGCAGAGCACAGAGAGGGGACAGCACAGCACAGAGAGGGGACAGCAGAGCAGAGAGGGGACUGCAUGGAUAGGGGACAGCACAGCAGAGUGGGGACAGUACAGCAAUGGGACAGCACAGGGAUUGGAAAGCACAGCAGAGUGGGGACAGCACAGGACAGAGAGGGGACAGCACAGCAGAGUGGGGACAGUGCAGGGAUGGGACAGUGGGGAGAGGGGACAAUGCAGAGGUGGGACGACACAGAGAGGGGACAGCACAGCAAUGGGACAGCACAGCAGUGGGACAGCACAGCAGUGGGACAGCACAGGGAUUGGAAAGCACAGCAGAGUGGGGACAGCAAAGCAAAUAGAGGGGACAGCACUGCACAGAGAGAGGACAGCAGAGCAGAGAGGGGACAGCACAGCACAGCACAGAGAGGGGACAGCAGAGCAGAGAGGGGACAGCAGAGCAAUGGGACAGCACAGCAAUGGGACAGCAAAGCUGAGAGAGGGGACAGCAGAGCAGAGAGAGGGGGACAGCAGAGCAGAGAGAGGGGACAGCAGCAGCAAUGGGACAGGACAGGGACUGGAAAGCACAGCAGAGAGGAGACAGCAAAGCAGAGAGGGGACAGCACAGCAGAGAGAGGGGACAGAAGAGUGGGGACAGUGCAGGGAUGGGACAGUGGGGAGAGGGGACAAUGCAGAGGUGGGACGACACAGAGAGGGGACAGCACAGCAAUGGGACAGCACAGCACAGAGAGGGAGACAGCAGAGCACAGAGAGGGGACAGCACAGCACAGAGAGGGGACAGCACAGGGAUUGGAAAGCACAGCAGAGUGGGGACAGCAAAGCAGAGAGAGGGGACAGCACAGCACAGAGAGGGGCAGCACAGUAGAGUGGGGACAGUGCAGGGAUGGGACAGUGGGGAGAGGGGACAAUGCAGAGGUGGGACGACACAGAGAGGGGACAGCACAGCAAUGGGACAGCACAGCAAUGGGACAGCACAGGGACUGGAAAGCACAGCAGAGCGGGGACAGCAAAGCAGAGAGAGGGGACAGCACAGCAAUGGGACAGCAAAGCAGAGAGAGGGGACAGUGCAGGGAUGGGACAGCACAGGGAUGGGACAGGGGGGAGAGGGGACAGCACAGGGAUGGGACAACAGAGAGGGGACAGCACAGAGAGGGGGGACAGCACAGCACAGAGAUGGGACUGCACAGAGAGGGGACAGCACAGCACAGAGGGCACAGCACAGAGCUGCCCCCACCCAAGCAGUGGAUGUGGCCCAUCUCCAUUUCAGUACAGCAUUUGGCACCGCCUCCCACUGCGUUCCCACAGCUGAACUGAGGGGGUGACGCGGAGGGGGGACGGGACGGGGAGGGGACAGUGCAGGGAGGGGGGGAGGGAGCAGAGAGGGGAGGACACGGAGGUGGGAUGGACAACGCGGGGAUGGGACGAUGCUGCAGGGAGGGGAUGGUGGAGAGAGGAGACAGCGCAGGGAACAGAGAGUGUGGCCGUGGAAUCAGAGUCCUACAAUGGGCUGGGUUGGAAAGGGCCACAGUGAUCAUGCAGUUCCAACUGGAAGGGUCCUUCCAGAUCACAGAGACAUCGAAUGGUUGGGUUGGAAGGGUCCUUACAGGUCACAGAGCAAUGGAAGGGUUGGGUUGGGUUGGAUGGGUCCUUCCAGAUCACAGGGCCAUGGAACUGUUGGGUUGGAAGUGUCCUUACAGAUCACAGAGCCAUGGAAUGGUUAGGUUGGGUUGGAAGGGUCCUUGAAGAUCAUAAAGUCAUGGAAUGAUUAGGUUUGAAGGGUCCUUACAGGUCACAGAGACAUGGAAAGGUUGUGUUGGAAGGAUCGUUGAAGAUCACAGAGUCAUGGAACGGCUGGUUUGGGUUGGAAGGAUCCUUGAAGAUCAGACAACCACAGAAUGGUUGGGUUGAAAGGGUCCUUACAGGUCACAGAGCCAUGGAAUGGUUGGGUUGGGUUGGAUGGGUCAUUAUAGAUCACAGGGCCGUGGAAUUGUUGGGUUGGGUUGGAAGGGUCCUUCAAGAUCACAGAGCCAUGGAAUGGUUGGGUUGGGUUUAUACGCUCCCUUUAGGUCCUGGAAGGCCACAAUGAGGUCUCCCCGCAGCCUUCUUUUUCCAAGCUGAACAAGCCCAGUUCCCUCAACAUUUCCCCAUAGGAGAGCUGCUCCAGCUCUCCAGCUCUAGCUGAUGGUGAUUAAGCUUGCUGAUGGCACACAGCUGGGAGCAGAGGGCCGUGCUGCCAUCCAUUGAGCCCUGGGCAGGGAGAAACGGGAUGGAACACAACAACUGCAGCGUGGAGUAUUGCAUGUGGGCAUGGAGAAGGCCAUGGGCAAGUACAGGUUGGGGACAGAGCAGAAUAAAGGGACCUGGGGGGUCCUGGUGGGCAGCAGGAGGACCAUGAGACAGCAGUGUGCUUUGGUGGCCAAGAAGGUCAAUGGUGGCCUGAACAGGAGGACCACGAGCCAACACUGUACUUUGGUGGCCAAGAAGGUCGAUGGUGGCCAAGGCAAGAGGACCAUGAGCCAGCAGUGUGCUUUGGUGGCCAAGAAGGUCAAUGGUGGCCUGGGAAGGAGGACCACGAGCCAGCAGUGUGCUUUGGUGGCCAAGAAGGUCAAUGGUGGCCUGGGAAGGAGGACCAUGAGACAGCACUGUGCUUUGGUGGCCAAGAAGACCAAUGGUGGCCUGGGAAGGAGGACCAUGAGCCAACAGUGUGCUUUGGUGGCCAAGAAGGCCAAUGGUGGCCUGGGAAGGAGGACCAUGAGACUGCACUGUGCUUUGGUGGCCAAGAAGGCCAAUGGUGGCCUGGGGUGCAUUGGAAGAGGGGUGGGUGGGAGGUCCAGAGAGGUUCUCCUGCCCCUCUGCCCUGCCCUGGGGAGGCCACCUCUGGAUUCCUGUGUCCACAUGGGGGUCCCUCCGUUCCAGAGGGACGAGGAGGUGCUGGAGGGAGCCCGGAGCAGAGCUGAGGAGGUGGUGAAGGCAGCAGAGCAUCUCUGUGCUGAGGAAGGGCAGAGGGGAGUGGGGGCUCUUUAGUUUGGAGAAAGGGGGAGACGGAGGGGUGACCCCAUUGGUGCUGACAGAUACCUACUCUGGAGGUGGAUCGGAACGGGUGAUCUUCAAGGACCCUUCCAAUCCCUGAUGCAAUUCUGUGCUACAACCCCGUGCCACGUGGAGCCCCCCACGCUGUGUCUCAACGCAGACCCCCAGACCCCACCCCAGCACCGACCUUUCUGUGCCUCCCUCAGGGAGCUGCUGACGAUCGUCCACCAUUUCUGUGCCUCGCGCUCCUCCUCGAAGCUGAACACCAUGGGCUCGUCCAGGGAGCCGAGGACGAGCAGCUCGUGACACGUGGGGGUCUUCACCGUGUAGGAAAUGUCCUUCAGGUCGUACUCGGCGAUGCUCUGCGGGCAAAGGGACAGAGGGGUCAGUGCAGGAGGAAGGUCCUGGAGGAUGAGAGAGACGUGGAACCAUGGAAUGGUUGGGUUGGAAGGGUCCUUAAAGGUCACACAGCUUUGAGAUUGUGAAGCAGUUGGGUUGGAAGGGCCCUUAAAGAUCACAGAAACAUGCAAUGGUCGGGUUAGAAGGGUCCUUGAAGAACAUAGAAACAUAGAACUAUGGAAUGGUUGGGUUGGAAGGGUCCUUAAAGGUCACACAGCUUUGAGAUUGUGAAGCAGUUGGGUUGGAAGGGUCCUUAAAGAUCACAGAACCAUGGAAUGGUCGGGUUAGAAGGGUCCUUAAAGGUCAUAGAAACAUGGAACCAUGGAAUAUUUGGGUUGGAAGGGUCCUUAAAGGUCAUAGAGACAUGGAACCAUGGAAUGGUUGGGUUGGAAGGGUCCUUAAAGGUCAUAGAGACAUGGAACCAUGGAAUGGUUGGGUUGGAAGGGUCCUUAAAGAUUACACAACCACAGAAUGGUUGGGUUGGAAAGGUCCUGAAAGACCACAGAGAUGUAGAAUGGUUGGGAUGGGCUGGAAAGGUCCUUCAAGAUCACAAACCCAUGGAAGGGUUGGAACGGAGAGGUCCUUAAAGAUCACAGAGCCACAGAAGCUCCGUUAGUUGAAAACAACAACGGGGUUGGAAGGGAAACGCUCGCUGUCCUGCCAGGACCCAACUCUGCCCGCUUUCCUCACCACAAUUCGGCCUUGGCUCCAAUGGGGCUGCACAGCUGAGGGGGGGGGGGGGGGGGAGGCACAAAAAAUCAAUGGGAAAACCCCACAGAACCAUUGGGGUGGCUCCGAUCCGCCCUGCCCCACUCGUUCCCUUUUCGGCCCGAGGGUCACGCGGAGCACUGCCAUCCCCGGCCCUAUUUUGGGAUGGUGAGCCCUCGCUUUGGCAGCAGCCCAUGAGCUCUCAGCACGACGUGCCAGGGCAGUGCUGAGGCCCCACAGAGGGACAGACGGACACGAGGAGCUGCCCCAGUAAUCCCAUCUCGCUGCCUGGGGGGGCUUUGGGGGGCACGCGGGGCAGGAGGGGCCACCCACUGCCUGCUCCCCACUCCCAGGGACCCCCAGACACCACAUUGUGUUUUAUAGGGAUAUAAAGACUGGAGAGUUGAUCUGAGAUCUCCUACCAGGGACCCCAAUGCUAUGGGGAGCCAACGCUGUGGGGAAAUGGAGAGCCAAAGCCAUGGGGGAAUGGGGAGUCAAAGCUAUGGGGGAAUGGGGAGUCAAAGCUAUGGGGGAACGGGGAGAGGAAGCCAUGGGGGAAUGGG
ensembl:lncRNA